GCUCCUUGAAAUCAGCUGUUCUCUGAUCAGGCGGAACAUUUCCAUGAAAACUCAAAGCCGCUUUUUAACAGUAGAUCGCACCUCAAACAAGGAUUUGUGAGCACUAACCUGUCGAGGAAAAUGUCAGGCAGUGGCGGGUAGGUGCGCAUGUCAGGCACCCUUUCGUGGACUAUGACCAUGACGAAGGACGUGAACCCGAA